GGGUCAUCAGAGCAGUGCGGUGCCAUAGUCCACUGUGGCCCUGCAUCAGAGAGCUCCGGAACAGAACGCUUGGCAGACUUUGCAUACUCUAGAGUCUUUUCUCUUGGAUAUCUCCAGAGACUUCCCUUCUGAGAAAGACUUUAAGAAACACUUUCUAGAUCAUACUACACACAGCAGACACCACAAUGCCCGUUUAUUGAGGCUGAUUAAGUUGCGUCUAUAGCCAGGCCUUUGUUGUGUCUAAUGGAGAACACACACUUUCUUGUUCUUUUGUUAGUCCAGAAUGGAUUCCAAGUCUAAACACUGGCUUCUCUUGUAAGGGAAGGCAAGAGACCUUCCCCGUCUGUGUCUGCGCACGGGAUAUUUCUCUGGUAUUGAUGGAUGGAUGGAAAAUAUGAUACAUCUAGAGCUGGUUCCUGGCAUCAAAUAACCUAAAACCAAACAAGGAGCAGCCAUGGAAAAUGAGAGCAGAGGAGAAAAUAAAAGCCUUGAAGUCCACGCUCCUGCUGAUUGUUACCACACAAGUGAGGAGCCUGCUGCUCAGGCAACAUGCACUGCCUUCUGUAAUUAGAUGGAAAACUAUUUGUUAUGCGUGCUUGGCCUGCCCAGAGGAAAACUCAGCGAGACCGGAAAACCUCAAAACAAAACGUGUGAUUCACUAGGUGCAAACUGUUAAAUAACGAGCCAGGCAUCACACUAAAGAUCUCCUUCCUUUCCCUUCUGCAUCUAACUGCUGCACCACAUGUUGAAAGAACUGUUGUCUUGCUAUUCUUCAGUCUUUUGGAAAUGCAGUUUGAUGUCCACCUCAGCCAGUACCGGAGCAGAGUCUAGAAAAAGCAACAACAUAAUGAGUUGUUAAAAGGAAGUCUUGGGCCACAUGUCUCAAUCGGCUAUUUGGGGCCAUGUGGAAGAAGAAGAAGAAGGAAUUUUCUCAGAGCAAAUAAAACAAAUCAAAGCCUGUAACAAUGAUCAAGUCUAAAACUCCAAAACUCCUGUGAACUCAAGGGCUUCACGCUCAGGACAGAGGCCCGCACAGAUAGCAAGUUCCUAACAUGAUCGCAUCCACGGGAGGAAGGAGCUUGGGAAAACAUCAUAAGUUGUCUCCUAUACCCUUUGAGAAGACUUGCUCCAUACAGGUUCAACACCAGCAGAAAGCACAGGAAAGCCUGGAGCCCACAAGUUCAAAGGACCACCCCCAACCCUACAUAUAUACGCUCAAGGAUCCAGAAACCAACUGAACUGAGAAUGCGUGCUCCUCCUCAGCUGUGCUUUCUCCUGCUCAGCCUCACUCCCGCUGCCCUCCCUCUCCCCGCUCUCACUCUGGCCCACCACUUUUCACUCCUGCUGCCCCUCACUCUCACUUGCCAUUUUAAACCUUGUGCCUUUUUUUAUUUCACUACACUUUUAGUAGUAUUUUCACCUUAUUCUAUUUUUUAAGUCUUCCAUGUUUUUUCUUUCCUUGUACUUUCAUCUAAUUUUGGAGAUGAAGUUUUCAGUUACUGGGUAAUCUUUAUUUAUCUUUGUCCGUUUUCUUGUCCCUUUUGUUUCCUCUUUUUUUCUUUCUUUUCUUUUCUUUUUUGGUCUAUUAUACUCUGAGAAAUGUUGGUACUUUAAAAGAGAUUUAUUUAAUUUACGAAUAUGUGUAAUUCUCUCUCUCUCUCUCUCUCUCUCUCUCUCUCUCUCUCUCUCUCUCUCUCUCUCUCGUGUACUCACGUGCAUGUGCAUGUGUGUGCAGGUGCCUGUGGAGUCCUGAAGUCUCCAGGGUUGAGGUUAUAAAGCAGUUAGGAGGCCACCACAGGUGUGCCAAGCCUCUACCGUACUCAUUCUUAACAGCUGAGCCAUCUCUCCAGCCCCAAGAUGCUUUUACAUUUUAUUGUACUGCUUUUAAUCUAUUUUUAAAAACAGCUUAUAUUUUCACAUUUUGUUGCUCACUUUACAUUUACCUAAUUUUGUUUCUAAACUCUCUCAUUAUUGAAAAAUCAUUUCCCUUCCCUGCGUUCUCUUACUGGCUUCCCUUCCUCCCUGACACUCUUCUCCAUCAUUCUCUUAUGUGCUUCACUCAUUUACUCUUUCCUUCUCCUCCACUUUUCCCUUCCCCCUUUAUUCCUUUGCCUUACUCAGUUGCCAUUUUUGCAUUUACUCUGAAUAGAUUUUGGCUUCACAGCACAUUCUAUGAUGGCAGCUGUUGGUGUAUUUGUUUUAUUAUUUUAUUGGGUUUUAUACUCUACCUCCCUUCCAACCUUUAGUCUACCCUAAUCCCUUCCAAUCCCCCAAGACUAGGUAGGAGAGAAAGAAGGUUAAAGGGGAAAGGGAAAGUAGAUCUCUUUAGACUACCUCCUGCUGAUUAGGGUUGUGGGGUUCCUUGGGCCUGGUCCAGUUUUCAUAGUCAACUUUCUUUUGUCAAACUGCAACAACAGCAACCAGGAGCAGCAGCUGCUGCCUCCUCCUCCUUCCCCUCCUCUUCCUCUUCCUCCUCCUCUUCUUCCUUUUACUCCUCCUCCUUCUUCAGAGCACUUCCUGCCCCUCUCAGGACUCUGGCAUUUAUUCUCCUUCCAGAGUCCCCUGCAUUAAACUAUCUGCAGCUGGCAAAAAUCAUGCCCUUCCCAGAGCACGAGACAACCACAGUUAGUGGCUGUGGACAAACUGAAGCAGCCCCAUAUCCCAUACCUGGGAUUAAAACAGAAACAUAGUUACAUAA